CCCCGCGGCCGCCCCGCCGAGCCCGGCAGGAUCUGUUGAAGACAUGCCUUUUGAAGUUACUGCCUCAAAAAGCGGGGGAAGUGCUGCAGAUUGUGGAAAGAGAAUUCCCUACUCAAAGCAAUAGGAUUCUCUCACUGUGGAAUAAUCUCUGUGAGCCCUGUGGACUCUGCAUAAAAUGGACACAUGGAGUCAUAUCUCUGCCAAAUACACCUAUUUCAGUGUUGGACUGGAAAUGCUUUGAAAUGGUGGGAAAAAAAAACAACACAAAAUCUCUUUAAGAAGUGAGAACUAAAAGAGAACUGAACCAAAUUCCCAGAAAAAUCUCUGCAGCUUGUCAUAUAGUUGUGUUUUUUAACUAUUAUUAUUUUUAAAACCCUGAAAGGUUUGGAUAAAAAGCUCUUGCACAAUGAAAAGCUCUUGCACUGUUUUACCAAAGUCUGGAAGUUAAACUUACUGUGAAUUUUUAUAAUGCCAGUGCAAUACUUUUGUUUGUAAGGGUGCUUUAAAAAUAGCUAUAUUAAACUAUUGAUGCAAAGCUGCAAAUGCAGUAGAAGUUGUUUAUAGUGUAAAUACACAAUUUACAGUGUCUCUUGUUAAGUUUCAUUGUUAUUUUGAAACAACCUGGAAUCUGAGAUUUUAGAAUUAGACAAGUAAAAUCAGCGAUGUUGGCACACCAGUACAGUCUCUGUAGUUGUAGGUGAUGUCAUUUGAUGACUCUUGCAAAAGGCAUUUUUAGUCCAGUGAUGUUGGGAGUUAUUCUCCUAAUGCUGAAGCAUUUGAAGGAAGGGAAAAGACUAAAAGAAACUCUCUUGAUUAACAAAUACUCUGAGGUUUUAUAAAAUAUUAACAAACAGUACCUGGAAAAAAGACUUAUGUUAAUGAUACCUAAAAUUCUUGUAUGGAGAAAUUCCUCAUGAGUUCCUCUGCUUUUGAACUAAGAGUCUGAGCCCACCACCAGCAAAUACUGGUAGGUCUUAAAAUUUUAAUGUGCAAUUGGUUUUAUGCCACACCUUACUGAAUACUAGAGGUGGAAUUAAGGAAAAUAUUUACUAAGAACACUGUGGCUGUAUUUCCUGGUGAACUCUUGAAAUGUCUUUCAAUGUUUUCUUGUAAAUUACAGAAGUAACUUCUUUUCUAUGCAUAUUCUCUUCUUAAAAGUUUUCCAGAUGCUCUCAGUCUUUUAACAAGUUAAGAAGAACACUAAAUUUGAAGGUCUAUUAUGUGAUUUCUUCUUUAUUAACUUCAGUUUCUAGGAGGUGUAUGCAAUUGUUUCCUCCUUUUAAUGGAACUGCAAUGUGACACCAUUGUGGUGCCACAAUGGUCUGACUUAAAAAAACAAACAAAGAAACCAAAAAAGCUCCUCCCUUAAAACCUGUAGAUCAGUUUUUGCUUGCAAGACUUUUCUUUCAUUUCGUUGUUCUGAACAGAGAUAACUGCUUUUUCUGAUUCCCUACAAUUUCACUUGUAAAGUGAAUUAUGAGAUACAGUUUUUAACAAGUGGAAUGAUUAGUAGCAGCUAUAAAUAAAGCCAAACCUUCUGUGUGUAGCCA
ensembl:lncRNA